CUUCAGGGCCUGCUUGGAGCCCUGGACAGUGCUGGAUGCAGAGCACAGAGUUCAAGAGAUGAUCUGGAAGACAGAUAUGUGACUGUGGCUUAGUGGGAUGAGCUUAUGUCAAAAAAAAUAAAGUAUUGAGCAGCCUGCCCUCAAAUAUCUCCUUGCUGAAUUUGCACUGUAAAUAUUGUACUUGGGGAAAAAAAGAGGACUCAAGAAGGAAGAAAAGAACUUUCAGCUGCCUUACCACAGUGUAAACUGAAUACAACGGAGGGAAAAAAGAAAAGCACGGAUGGUGAUGUUAGUUUGUUAAAUAAUGUGUGUCAGAAUACACCUUUUCCUGAAAGCUCAGUGAAGGACACCCUUGUAACAGCCUCUUCUUUCAUGGCUGUGGGGACCACGAGCCUGCUGAGCUGUGUGCUUGGGAAAGGGCAAGUACCCAACAUCCCUGUGCCUUCUUCAAUGAGAACAAAAAUUGUAUUUAAUUUCUACCACUAAAAAUCCAUUUUCCAGGGAGCUCCACGGCACCUGGGCACUUUCGGUAUGAUCUAUGGUGGGAACACAGAAAGCAGAUGCAAUGGCUUUUGUUACACUGAAAGAUUUGCAUAGCAUAGAAGGUUAGAGCUUCUGUGUUUCCUGGAGCCUUUUUCCUUGCCCUUGAAAAGACAAUUUGGAUUCCAAAUAUCCGUAACAAUUUGACCCGCUGGUUUAUGGACAAACAGGGGCCUAGAAUUUAACCUCUGGAAAACCAAAGUUAACAAUUCAGGGAUUUCUGUGGCCAGAGCAAUUGUAUCUGCUUUGUUCAAGUUUGUGUUUUGCAACUUUCCAUAGAGGCACUGUCAGCUCUUUCCAAAAUGAAGGUAAUUUGCAAAUAACACCUUAGAAGACCACUUUUCUACUAUAUUUUUAGACAGAGAAAUUAAGAGAGAGAUUAGUGAUUGUGAAUAUUUGCAUUAAUGUAGCAGGAAAGACCCUAGUAACGAGGCAGAAUCCCAGGGUGGUAGUUUUUUACAUGGAUGGCUUUUCAGCCGAGUAGUUGAACCUGACAGUGGUGUUAGCAGAGAGCAAACGGUGAAGGCAUACAGAGAUAAAUUUGCUUGCUUGACCCAAUGGUCAAUUAUAAUUGAUGCAAAGCUACAAAAGACUUAAAGAUGGAUUUGAUUGAGGUAUAUUUGCAAACACAUGUCCUCCCCUCCUGGAAACAGUCCUGAGAUGAUACUUAUAAAUCAGCAAAUGGGGAGGUGGCAGCAUUGCCAGUCACACGAAGGGGAUGAACUCAUUGCUGAGGCUUCAAAUGGAUAAAUGCAACUUCUUUCAACCUGUAACUGUUCUCUGCAAUUUCACAUUAGAGGCUAGGCUGUUUAUUAAAAUAAAAAAAUACCUGUAAUGCUAACUGGGUCAAAUCAUGAUAAAGGCAAAACUUUGCAGCCUGUACAACUUGGGGUCCUUUCACUUAAAUUCACAAACUGCAUGUUCUCUUCCUCUCUUUUUUUCCCCCACUUACUGUACCAUUUAUCUAACAAUUAAGAUUUUUAAGAAUGCAACCCUAAAAAUUUAUUUACACAAAACUCUUCUCGGUACCACUGGAAACAUUAACAUCUAUACGUUUUGUUAAAAUGAGUAGAGAAAAAUAGCUAACCUGUUAUUUUUGAUGUACCCCGUAAGUUUGGCUUUUAAAAUAAAUUGCCAUUUCAAAACAUGUAAAUACCUCAGCUAAAAAAAGUUCUGGGAAUCAGUCAUCUGCUAUCAUUUUUAGCUUUGCCUGACUUUGAGUUUCAUGUUGUUUGGGGGGGAAAAAAACAGGAGUUCCUCCCCUCCCCUCACAGUGUUGCACUGUACAAUUUAUAGCAACUCCAGAUGGAAAAGAC